rnacentral:lncRNA from 1 species
GUGACAAUGACGCUGGAAGAGAAAGUAACGAUGUCGGCGAACGGGAGCGAUGGACCUUCGUGUGUCAGAAGAUGCUUCCUCUCAUCUCUUCCUGCAACUGCCAGAGAAACAUUUCUUUUUUAAAAUUCCCCCUCUAACCCCUCGUGAAUGGUGAAGAAAGAAGGAAAAACCAUCUCCAGUUGUUGCUGUCUAUGAUGUCCAGGUUUUGUUCUCCCUCCCCAACUCACGUCCAUCACUCAUUGCGUUUUUUCUCCAUCUUGAUGAGGAAGCCUCUCCUCGAUCCUCUCU